rnacentral:rRNA from 1 species
AGAACGAACGCUGGCGGCGCGCCUAACACAUGCAAGUCGAACGAGAAUCCGGGGCAACCCGGUAGUAAAGUGGCAAACGGGUGAGGAAUACAUGGGUAACCUACCCUUGAGAAGGGAAUAACCCGCCGAAAGGUGAGCUAAUACCCUAUACGCUAUCAUUUUUUCGAAAAGGAUAGGAAAGCCAGGUCGAGGACCUGGUACUCAAGGAGGGGCUCAUGUCCUAUCAGCUUGUUGGUGGGGUAACGGCCUACCAAGGCUACGACGGGUA